GAUUAAGAGCUUGCUCUUAUGAAGUUAGCGGCGGACGGGUGAGUAACACGUGGGUAACCUGCCCAUAAGACUGGGAUAACUCCGGGAAACCGGGGCUAAUACCGGAUAACAUUUUGAACCGCAUGGUUCGAAAUUGAAAGGCGGCUUCGGCUGUCACUUAUGGAUGGACCCGCGUCGCAUUAGCUAGUUGGUGAGGUAACGGCUCACCAAGGCAACGAUGCGUAGCCGACCUGAGAGGGUGAUCGGCCACACUGGGACUGAGACACGGCCCAGACUCCUACGGGAGGCAGCAGUAGGGAAUCUUCCGCAAUGGACGAAAGUCUGACGGAGCAACGCCGCGUGAGUGAUGAAGGCUUUCGGGUCGUAAAACUCUGUUGUUAGGGAAGAACAAGUGCUAGUUGAAUAAGCUGGCACCUUGACGGUACCUAACCAGAAAGCCACGGCUAACUACGUGCC
rnacentral:rRNA from 1 species